CGAGAAUUAGCUAAUAUGGCUACCCCCAUGAGGCGACCCGCUAACUUGCAUGUUAAGUAAAUAUUAAUUUCGAGGCGACUGAUGUGACUUUUAACAUCCCAUACAAGGUUGUUUAGCGCAUGACCACUGUGGCGUAUUCAGUUCCUGAUUCAUACUUCACUGCAGGAGCAGAGUUUUCACCAGCACCUGAAUAAUUCACCGUGGCAUAUAAUAGCUCAUUCUCUACGACCUGUGAAAAACAUGUUGAAAUUAAACAUUACAAAUGAGUAUUUCUCUAAAUCAUGUUCAUAAAAACAUUCAUAACGGCAGAGAAAUGCAUUUUUUGACUGAUAUGUAGUUACAUGUAAACAUUCAAAGUGAAUUUAAAACCUGUAUGACUUCCUCGCAUGUCGUUUUGAUUUCAAAAGUAAUUCAAUAAAUAAAUAAUG